CUGACGAACUCAUGGAUCCCACACUGCCAAGAAAAACUUCUAGCGAGACGAAAUCCGCCCGUACCGUAAACCGACACAGGUAGGCGGGGAGAGAAUCCUAAGGUGCGCGGGAAACCCUCGUUAAGGAACUCGGCAAAUUGCAUCCGUAACUUCGGGAGAAGGAUGACCCUGAGUAGGCGAAAGGGAGAAACCCCCGGAACAGAAAAGGGUGGCAGAAAAGAGGCCCAAGCAACUGUUUACCAAAAACACAGGUGCCUGCGAAAGCGAAAGCUGAAGUAUAGGUGCUGACGCCUGCCCGGUGCUGGAAGGUUAAGGAGAGAGGUCAGCGAAAGCGAAGCUUUGAACUGAAGCCCCAGUGAACGGCGGCCGUAACAAUAACGGUCCUAAGGUAGCGAAAUUCCUUGUCGGGUAAGUUCCGACCCGCAUGAAAGGCGUAAUGAUUUGGGCACUGUCUCAACGAGGGGCCCGGUGAAAUUGAAAUACCUGUGAAGAUGCAGGUUACCCGCGACUGGACAGUAAGACCCCAUGGAGCUUCACUGCAGCUUGAGAUUGAAUCCCGGUGACAUAUGCACAGGAUAGGUGGGAGGCUAAGAAGUAAUGCCUUUGGGUGUUACAGAGCCGAUGUUGGGAUACCACCCUUAUGUUGCUGAGAUUCUAACACGGAGACUAACAACCUCGUGGACCAUCUCAGGCAGGCGGUUUGACUAGGGCGGUCGCCUCCUAAAAUGUAACGGAGGCGCCCAAAGGUUCCCUCAGGCCGGACAGAAACCGGCCGAAGAGUGCAAAGGCAGAAGGGAGCUUGACUGCGAGACAGACAAGUCGAGCAGAGACGAAAGUCGGGCUUAGUGAUCCGGUGGUACUGAGUGGAAAGGCCAUCGCUCAACGGAUAAAAGCUACCCUGGGGAUAACAGGCUAAUCUCUCCCAAGAGUUCAUAUCGACGGGGAGGUUUGGCACCUCGAUGUCGGCUCAUCACAUCCUGGAGCUGGAGUAGGUUCCAAGGGUUGGGCUGUUCGCCCAUUAAAGUGGUACGCGAGCUGGGUUCAAAACGUCGUGAGACAGUUUGGUUCAUAUCCAUCGCGGGCGCAAGAAGUUUGAGGGAGGCUGCUCCUAGUACGAGAGGACCGGAGUGGACGGAUCAACGGUGUACCAGUUGUCACGCCAGUGGCACGGCUGGAAAGCCGCAUCCGGAAAGGAUAAACGCUGAAAGCAUCUAAGCGUGAAGCCCGUCCCGAGAUGAGACUUCUCAUCAGCAAUGGGUAAGACCCCUUAAAGACGAUGAGGUUGAUAGGCUGUGAGUGGAAGUGGCGCAAGUCAUGGAGCGACGCAGUACUAAUAGGUCGAGGUCCUACC
rnacentral:rRNA from 1 species